UACAGAGGGUGCAAGCGUUGCUCGGAAUCAUUGGGCGUAAAGGGCAGGUAGGUGGUCUGAUUUGUCUGGCGGGGAAAUCCUUGAGCUUAACUCAAGAAGUGCCCCGGAAACGGUCAGACUUAUGAGUCUUGGAGAGGGUUGCGGAAUUCCCGGUGUAGCGGUGAAAUGCGUAGAGAUCGGGAGGAACACCAGAGGCGAAGGCGGCAACCUGGACAAGCACUGACACUCAACUGCGAAAGCGUGGGGAGCAAACAGG
rnacentral:rRNA from 1 species